rnacentral:rRNA from 1 species
ACAGCCCCGUACACAAAAAUGCACAUACUGUGAGCUCGAUGAGUAGGGCGGGACACGUGGUAUCCUGUCUGAAUAUGGGGGGACCAUCCUCCAAGGCUAAAUACUCCUGACUGACCGAUAGUGAACCAGUACCGUGAGGGAAAGGCGAAAAGAACCCCGGCGAGGGGAGUGAAAAAGAACCUGAAACCGUGUACGUACAAGCAGUGGGAGCCUCUUAAUGGGGUGACUGCGUACCUUUUGUAUAAUGGGUCAGCGACUUAUAUUCUGUAGCAAGGUUAACCGAAUAGGGGAGCCGAAGGGAAACCGAGUCUUAACUGGGCGUUAAGUUGCAGGGUAUAGACCCGAAACCCGGUGAUCUAGCCAUGGGCAGGUUGAAGGUUGGGUAACACUAACUGGAGGACCGAACCGACUAAUGUUGAAAAAUUAGCGGAUGACUUGUGGCUGGGGGUGAAAGGCCAAUCAAACCGGGAGAUAGCUGGUUCUCCCCGAAAGCUAUUUAGGUAGCGCCUCGUGAAUUCAUCUCCGGGGGUAGAGCACUGUUUCGGCAAGGGGGUCAUCCCGACUUACCAACCCGAUGCAAACUGCGAAUACCGGAGAAUGUUAUCACGGGAGACACACGGCGGGUGCUAACGUCCGUCGUGAAGAGGGAAACAACCCAGACCGCCAGCUAAGGUCCCAAAGUCAUGGUUAAGUGGGAAACGAUGUGGGAAGGCCCAGACAGCCAGGAUGUUGGCUUAGAAGCAGCCAUCAUUUAAAGAAAGCGUAAUAGCUCACUGGUCGAGUCGGCCUGCGCGGAAGAUGUAACGGGGCUAAACCAUGCACCGAAGCUGCGGCAGCGACACUAUGUGUUGUUGGGUAGGGGAGCGUUCUGUAAGCCUGUGAAGGUGUACUGUGAGGUAUGCUGGAGGUAUCAGAAGUGCGAAUGCUGACAUAAGUAACGAUAAAGCGGGUGAAAAGCCCGCUCGCCGGAAGACCAAGGGUUCCUGUCCAACGUUAAUCGGGGCAGGGUGAGUCGACCCCUAAGGCGAGGCCGAAAGGCGUAGUCGAUGGGAAACAGGUUAAUAUUCCUGUACUUGGUGUUACUGCGAAGGGGGGACGGAGAAGGCUAUGUUGGCCGGGCGACGGUUGUCCCGGUUUAAGCGUGUAGGCUGGUUUUCCAGGCAAAUCCGGAAAAUCAAGGCUGAGGCGUGAUGACGAGGCACUACGGUGCUGAAGCGACAAAUGCCCUGCUUCCAGGAAAAGCCUCUAAGCAUCAGGUAACAUCAAAUCGUACCCCAAACCGACACAGGUGGUCAGGUAGAGAAUACCAAGGCGCUUGAGAGAACUCGGGUGAAGGAACUAGGCAAAAUGGUGCCGUAACUUCGGGAGAAGGCACGCUGAUAUGUAGGUGAAGCGACUUGCUCGUGGAGCUGAAAUCAGUCGAAGAUACCAGCUGGCUGCAACUGUUUAUUAAAAACACAGCACUGUGCAAACACGAAAGUGGACGUAUACGGUGUGACGCCUGCCCGGUGCCGGAAGGUUAAUUGAUGGGGUUAGCGGUAACGCGAAGCUCUUGAUCGAAGCCCCGGUAAACGGCGGCCGUAACUAUAACGGUCCUAAGGUAGCGAAAUUCCUUGUCGGGUAAGUUCCGACCUGCACGAAUGGCGUAAUGAUGGCCAGGCUGUCUCCACCCGAGACUCAGUGAAAUUGAACUCGCUGUGAAGAUGCAGUGUACCCGCGGCAAGACGGAAAGACCCCGUGAACCUUUACUAUAGCUUGACACUGAACAUUGAGCCUUGAUGUGUAGGAUAGGUGGGAGGCUUUGAAGUGUGGACGCCAGUCUGCAUGGAGCCGACCUUGAAAUACCACCCUUUAAUGUUUGAUGUUCUAACGUGGGCCCCUUACCGGGGUUGCGGACAGUGUCUGGUGGGUAGUUUGACUGGGGCGGUCUCCUCCUAAAGAGUAACGGAGGAGCACGAAGGUUGGCUAAUCCUGGUCGGACAUCAGGAGGUUAGUGCAAUGGCAUAAGCCAGCUUGACUGCGAGCGUGACGGCGCGAGCAGGUGCGAAAGCAGGUCAUAGUGAUCCGGUGGUUCUGAAUGGAAGGGCCAUCGCUCAACGGAUAAAAGGUACUCCGGGGAUAACAGGCUGAUACCGCCCAAGAGUUCAUAUCGACGGCGGUGUUUGGCACCUCGAUGUCGGCUCAUCACAUCCUGGGGCUGAAGUAGGUCCCAAGGGUAUGGCUGUUCGCCAUUUAAAGUGGUACGCGAGCUGGGUUUAGAACGUCGUGAGACAGUUCGGUCCCUAUCUGCCGUGGGCGCUGGAGAACUGAGGGGGGCUGCUCCUAGUACGAGAGGACCGGAGUGGACGCAUCACUGGUGUUCGGGUUGUCAUGCCAAUGGCACUGCCCGGUAGCUAAAUGCGGAAGAGAUAAGUGCUGAAAGCAUCUAAGCACGAAACUUGCCCCGAGAUGAGUUCUCCCUGACUCCUUGAGAGUCCUGAAGGAACGUU